rnacentral:rRNA from 1 species
UAUUUUAAAGAGAGUUUGAUCCUGGCUCAGGACGAACGCUGGCGGCGUGCCUAAUACAUGCAAGUCGAACGAACGGAGGAAGAGCUUGCUCUUCCAAAGUUAGUGGCGGACGGGUGAGUAACACGUGGGCAACCUGCCUGUAAGUUGGGGAUAACUCCGGGAAACCGGGGCUAAUACCGAAUGAUAAAAGUGUGGCGCAUGCCACGCUUUUGAAAGAUGGUUUCGGCUAUCGCUUACAGAUGGGCCCGCGGUGCAUUAGCUAGUUGGUAGGGUAAUGGCCUACCAAGGCAACGAUGCAUAGCCGACCUGAGAGGGUGAUCGGCCACACUGGGACUGAGACACGGCCCAGACUCCUACGGGAGGCAGCAGUAGGGAAUCUUCCGCAAUGGACGAAAGUCUGACGGAGCAACGCCGCGUGUAUGAAGAAGGUUUUCGGAUCGUAAAGUACUGUUGUUAGAGAAGAACAAGGAUAAGAGUAACUGCUUGUCCC